AUUGAACGCUGGCGGCAUGCCUUACACAUGCAAGUCGAACGGUAACGGGCCUUCGGGUGCCGCCGCGUGGCGAACGGGUGAGUAAUACAUCGGAACGUGCCCGAUCGUGGGGGAUAACGAGGCGAAAGCUUUGCUAAUACCGCAUACGGUCUACGGAUGAAAGCAGGGGACCGCAAGGCCUUGGGCGGGCGGAGCGGCCGAUGGCAGAUUAGGUAGUUGGUGGGAUAAAAGCUUACCAAGGCGACGAUCUGUAGCUGGUCUGAGAGGAUGAUCAGCCAGACUGGGAGUGAGACACGGCCCAGACUCCUACGGGAGGCAGCAGUGGGGAAUUUUGGACAAUGGGCGCAAGCCUGAUCCAGCAAUGCCGCGUGCAGGAUGAAGGCCUUCGGGUUGUAAACUGCUUUUGUACGGAACGAAAAGCCUUCUUUUAAUACAGGAGGGUCAUGACGGUACCGUAAGAAUAAGCACCGGCUAACUACGUG
rnacentral:rRNA from 1 species